rnacentral:rRNA from 1 species
GACGAACGCUGGCGGCGUGCUUAACACAUGCAAGUCGAACGGAAAGGCCCAGCUUGCUGGGUACUCGAGUGGCGAACGGGUGAGUAACACGUGGGUGAUCUGCCCUGCACUCUGGGAUAAGCCUGGGAAACUGGGUCUAAUACCGGAUAUGAUCAACUGUCGCAUGGUGGUUGGUGGAAAGCUUUUGCGGUGUGGGAUGGGCCCGCGGCCUAUCAGCUGGUUGGUGGGGUAAUGGCCUACCAAGGCGACGACGGGUAGCCGACCUUGAGAGGGUGAUCGGCCACACUGGGACUGAGACACGGCCCAGACUCCUACGGGAGGCAGCAGUGGGGAAUAUUGCACAAUGGGCGCAAGCCUGAUGCAGCGACGCCGCGUGAGGGAUGACGGCCUUCGGGUUGUAAACCUCUUUCACCAGGGACGAAGCGUGAGUGACGGUACCUGGAGAAGAAGCACCGGCCAACUACGUGCCAGCCGCCGCGGUAA